UGGGGAAUAUUGCACAAUGGAGGGAACUCUGAUGCAGCGACGCCGCGUGAGUGAUGAAGGAAUUCGUUUCGUAAAACUCUGUUCUAUGGGAAGAAAAGGACUGUACCAUAGGAGAAAGCUCCGGCUAAAUACGUGCCAGCAGCCGCGGUAAUACGUAUGGAGCGAGCGUUGUCCGGAAUUAUUGGGCGUAAAGGGUGCGCAGGCGGCUUUACAAGUUGGAUGUGAAAUAUUGUGGCUCAACCACAAACGUGCAUCCAAAACUGCAAAGCUUGAGUUAAGGAGAGGUAAGUGGAAUUCCUGGUGUAGCGGUGGAAUGCGUAGAUAUCAGGAGGAAUUCCGGUGGCGAAGGCGACUUACUGGACUUAAACUGACGCUCAGGCACGAAAGCGUGGGGAGCAAACAGG
rnacentral:rRNA from 1 species